rnacentral:lncRNA from 1 species
GACUAUGUGGGCGACAAUCCUAAUCAGCAUUUCUUUAUUAUUUUUUUCACACGCUUAUCUUUCUCCAAUCUCUCUCUCAUUUUUCUCCCUUCUCUUCUCUGCAAUUUAUCCAAUUGUUGUUCCCAUCCAGUUCCAUGAACGCCAAAUCUACACAGUAUUUUUUUUAAUUUUCUUCUCUCAUGUUUCUCUCUCUUUGUUUUUUU